GCUAUUUUCGAAUGCUCAUGGACAAACCGAUCGAGCUGGCUUGUGGUAGUCUGGCUUGGUCGCGAGUAGAGUCUCAAAGUCCCUGCUGCCACUCAGAACCUGCUGCCACUCAGAACACCUCGAUGACCUGAACACCUCCGUCUGCCGUCUGAGAACCGUUAGGAAGUGUGUGUGCAAAACGUGGUCACCACCUUAGAAUUCAUAAGGACAGCAUGUGUGGGACUACACCUACUGAGCAUACCAGAAGACGCAACUAACUCAAAUCUAAACUGAUUAUGCACAACUCUAGCAGGAGGACAGGUGAGAACAAUUAUUAUUGUUAAUACGCCUCUAACCUUGGGUGCAAGUGAGCUCACGUAGAGUGGCCAGUGGGAGUGUGGCCGGUGGGAGUGCUAUCCUGAGACGCCGCAUGUACGAAAGUGGGUGAGCGGUGGUGAUGAGGCCAUACAAAUGAGCAACGAGAUCAGGACGACUGGGCACGAAGAGCGGGAGAAGCAGCUAAAGGGUGAUUUCGUCUUCAAUACCAAGUUAUGACUUAUGAAACGGUAAAUAAAUCCAGGACUUUUUUAACCAAACAAUUCCAUCUUAGCAUCCGAAUGUGAAGAUUGCUUCCGAGAAGAACUCAAGAGUCAGGAUGGCUGGGAGAAGAUUGAAAACAUGUGAGGGUACAUUAACCAAUAAUACAUGCACACAAACAACUGUGUACAAUGCACUUACGAUGUAUUUAAUUUAAUUUAGAGAGCUUGGUGGGGAUAAGUGACCUUCCAAAUUUGUAACAUUGAUCACCCCAAUUAACAGUUCAAUGUAUUGCAAUUCUUAUAUUUCAAGGUUGAACUAUAUAGCAGGUUGAGCCUUAUUAGUUAUUGCAGUCUAUAAUUAGUAACUAUUCUAGAACAUUCUGACAGGUUAACUAUGUGUAUAAUUGUUUUUGUGUCAGUCUUCCAUUAAACAUAAACUUUGAACAGGUUAUGGACAGGUUAUGGGCCCAGUCAACGCGAGGACUGUAGGAGACAAGACUCAGAAGUAAAAAAAGAACUAAGUCUUCAGGCAAUUGCAGAACUAGAUCUAGCUACACGUUUGAGUAGCUACACGUUUGAGGGUAGCUACACGUUUGAGAAAGUCUAGUAUGGAAAAAUUGGAUAACUUGGAAGUUUCAGAUGAACUAUGGAGAAGUGCUGCAGCGGUACGGACUAAUUUUCAGCAAAAGACGCUUUUUCUUUUUCGUCAUGGCAGUCCAAGGACAGCACUCAAUUUAGGAAUAGCAGUACUUCAGAAUGGAAAUGAGGAAAUGACUACACACCUUGAAAGAACUUACCGACAGAUUGAUGCGCCAGGUGGUUACGCUCUUAGACCCAAACCAUAUGCUACCGUUGUCACAGCUCACAGUUGGAGAGACUAACUCCUAACUCUACAACAGUUGAUACUUCAUGAGGAGAGAGACACAAAACGAAGCGACAAAUACCAGCAGAGGAGACUUGGAGCUGCAACCACGCCUGACAAGAGCUCAGGACUGUCCAAAUUAAAAUGACGUGGAAUUUUGUUAUAAUGAUAUUCAUGCGUGCGACGUCAUCGCUUUGGAAUGUUUAUCACGUGCGUGGGUGGCAAAUGUCUGUAAUUACUAGUGAGGGCGGAGCUUGGGUCACAUGACACUGUAUUAAAGUUGACCGUAGCCUGAAAGCAUUUGUUGUAGGCUACCUGCCUUAACCCUUUCCCGGCUUUAGCCGUCAUAUGACGCGAGCUAUGCGCAGUACCAGCACAUGCGCAUUGGGCUGCUCUUUCACGUGGUAUCUACGCUUCAUGCAGUACUGUCGAAAGAAAAGUGACCGUUUGCUACAAGAUCUUCGUAGUACAACCUUAGCGAGGUUCUAGGGCAGCUAGACAGUGCCUUGUUGAGUAAGAGGACAGUGACUGGGAUCAUACCAAGAGAGGAAACUACUUUUCAGAGGUCAAGCUAUAAAUAUAGAGCCUGAAGAACCGGAGGAAGAAGCAUGAACCAAAGUCCUGGAGCUUGUGAAGAAAACGUUUCCCGAUAUGACCUCGCAGACUGCUGAUUGAACCAUGAACCAUGUCACCGUGAGAACAUUGAGAACACUUAUUUAGUGUCUUUAGUUAUUCAUACAAUAUUCAUAAUUGUGAAAUGUGUAAAAAAAAUUGUUAAUUAUUGGGGGUGGUCAGUUGCUAGGUAACGAUGAUGAUGUCAUGGUACCCCCAGGAUAUGGGGUACCUGUAGGAAAUAGUUGCAAGUGAUUACAAUGCAUGGUUCAUGAGAUAUGUAUUUUUAAAGAAUUUAUUCUGUAUUUUGUUUUUUUAAUUAAAGCCGGGAAGGGUUAAACUAAGACUUGCCUUAACCGUCACGGGCCACAAUCGGGCCACAAUCGUGGCCCGCAAUAGUGAAUUUUUUUGCGAAAUUCUAAUUCUGCGAUACUUAGGAAGAAGUAGCUCGAACUAUGCACAUCCCUGUAUAGAGGAAGAGCUGUAGAAUCACGUGCAAUUUAGUCUAGAAUUUUCCAAGCCACGUUGCUAUGUUAAAAUUUCAUUAGCAUCUUAGAUGUGCCGAUAUGCUUGAACAGCUUGAGGACAGCAAUGGCGAUGUCUCCUCUGGUGAUGACAGUGCUUAUGAAGGAGAGGGGAUAGUAGGAUACCUCCCAAAGGCUACCAGCUUUAUGCACGCUGAUGAACUGUCUGGGACUGAGGACAUGCAUGACAUGGACCUAGACGCUAGAGCUAUGGACCAGGACGGUGAAAGACCAGGAGAGGGCUCACUGUGUGUCUCUGGCAAGUAGUAGCUAGAAUAUCAGUAGUAAGUAUAGUAUAGCUAAAAUAGAAUUAGCAGUAAUAUAGAAUUAGCAGUAAUGAACAGUCUUUAUGUGAGCUUGUAAAUUUCAUAGAUCGUUCACCGAUAUAGUAGAUAUAGUAAUACAUGUACGUAACAUGUACUUCAAAUUGAUAUAUCUUAGCACUGUUACAUUCAUAUGAUGUGAAAAUCAAGCUUAGUCAAGCUUGGGAUUUUAUCUCACCGCUGGCCGAGCAUAAUAACCGUGGUGGUUGUUAUGGCAACACAUGUUGCACCAUUUUAUUCCUUGUUGUAUGGGCAUUCUAAUGGUAUAUGGUUCUAGGCAUUUUAUUGCUCUGGAAACCCGAUAGAGAAUUUACAGACCUCAUUGUUAAUUAAGAAUCCGACGGUUAAAGGAAGACUAUUAGAUAGUCUCUGGGUAGCCAUCCAAAAUGAAGCUCAAUUUCCAAAAAACUAAUUAGCUUAAUUCAAUUAUGCUAAUUAGUCCCAUAAAAUGGUGAUGACGUCAUGGCAGUUUUGUAAGAAGAACUACAAAUGCGGACAUGAAGAAGCUAAGAUCAAGCUUCAA